CUAACAACGUUAUGAUAUAAAAGCAAACGCGAUGACGUCAUAUUAUUAUUAUUAUUAUUUUUUUUUUUUUUUUUUUUUUUUUUUAUAAUGAUACCACAUUAAUUGUGUCAAAUACUUUGGAGGCUUUCACCCCUCUUGAAGAGCAUUCCAUAAAAAAGCAACAUGGCAGAAAACUGCAUGUAUUUUUCCCUAUGCAAUCUCAGCAAAGACGAUAUCGGCGACACGUUGCAGUCUCGUGUGUGGGGAAUCUGUAUAUUUGUAGUGGGUUUUUUUGCGAUUUCUGUGUGGACAAACUUUGGAGGAAAUCCAACGGCAAUUAAAGGUAGGAGAGUAAUUUUUCGUAGUUAAGAAUUUGGUUCGGACACUAGUACAACGAUCAAAAACACGUUUAAUAUACAGCCACUAAUAUAUUUGAUAUGUAAUUACAUUCGUCGAAACGUCUGUUAGUCAAUAACAUCUAAAAAAAAAAAAAAAAUUGCAGCAAACUCAGGAAUGUCCCUUUAACAUAAACAUAUAAGUACCAUUUGUGACAUCGAAUAGCCGAUGUGUAUUUGUUGUGCUGCGGUGUCAUUAAACAUUCAUUCAUUCACUCCAGUUAACGAGACAUAAUAUAUUCGGCAACAGAAAUGUUUUUGGAAUCUUUAAAUUCCACCCAGAAUUAAUUUUAAAGUUAAAUUAAAAAACCACUGAUUUUUAUACAAAGUUUUCACAUAUACUUCCCUUGAUUUGUGUAUUGUAUUAUACUUUUAAGUGGUUUUAUAUAAUUAUAUAAAUAAUAUUUUCAUAUACUUACCAUUUGUGACAACCAGUAGACGAUGUGUAUUUUUGUGUUGGGGUGUCGUUAAACACUCCUUCUUUCAUUAAUUAUUUUUUGCAUUUGCCAUAGUUUGAUACCCAAUAGCCGAUGUAUUUUUCGUGCUGUGGUGUUAAACAUUCAAACAGGUUCAUUGUUGUUGGUUGGGACAUUUUGUUUUGUUUUGGGUUGGGGUUUUAUAUAUGGAAUAUGGAAUAAGUACUUGUAGUCAAAAUAAGAUAUGGCGAUGAUAACGUAUGAAUAUAUUAUUAAACAGUUUCAGUGUCCAUGAUUGCGGGAGCCAAAGCCUGCUGCUGCUGCCAUCGGGACAAGAAGAAGUAACGAUCGAAAUCAUAGGUCUAUUACAAACGGCUACAAGUCGAAAAUAUUGCCAUGCCUAACUGAAGAUGAACGACAAGAAUCCUAUUAUAAAUGUUUUAUAAGCAGUAAUGAUACAUUUGAUAAUUUUAUACUUUGAAAUAAAUGUCUGUCAAGUGUG